rnacentral:lncRNA from 1 species
GUCGAACAUUUCGUCUUUUAUUUUCUAUAAGUAUAUUUGUUUAAGUAAUGCUUUCUAGUUCCUGUCUUUGUCGGCUAAACGAACUCAAUUUUUAGCAAUAAAAGAAAUAUAUGCAAACAUUCAAAUGGCAGGUAAGACCAGAGCAGCAAUAUGAGCCAUAUCUACAUUUAUCCAACCGUCCUCUACAUCUUGUAGAUUGUUUUGCCUGGUGGUCU